CGAAAGCCUGACGGAGCAAUACCGCGUGAGGGAGGAAGGCUCUUGGGUUGUAAACCUCUUUUCUCAGGGAAGAACAAAAUGACGGUACCUGAGGAAUCAGCAUCGGCUAACUCCGUGCCAGCAGCCGCGGUAAUACGGAGGAUGCAAGCGUUAUCCGGAAUGAUUGGGCGUAAAGCGUCCGCAGGUGGCAUUGAAAGUCUGCUGUCAAAGAGUCUGGCUCAACCAGAUAAAGGCAGUGGAAACUACAAAGCUAGAGUACGUUCGGGGCAGAGGGAAUUCCUGGUGUAGCGGUGAGAUGCGUAGAGAUCAGGAAGAACACCGGUGGCGAAAGCGCUCUGCUAGGCCGUAACUGACACUGAGGGACGAAAGCUAGGGGAGCGAAUGGGAUUAGAUACCCCAGUAGUCCUGGCCGUAAACGAUGGAUACUAGGUGUUGCUUGUAUCGACCCGAGCAGUACCGUAGCUAACGCGUUAAGUAUCCCGCCUGGGGAGUACGCAGGCAACUGUGAAACUCAAAGGAAUUGACGGGGGCCCGCACAAGCGGUGGAGUAUGUGGUUUAAUUCGAUGCAACGCGAAGAACCUUACCAGGGCUUGACAUGUCGCGAAUCCUUGUGAAAGCAGGGAGUGCCUUCGGGAGCGCGAACACAGGUGGUGCAUGGCUGUCGUCAGCUCGUGUCGUGAGAUGUUGGGUUAAGUCCCGCAACGAGCGCAACCCUCGUUUUUAGUUGCCAUCAUUAAGUUGGGCACUCUAGAGAGACUGCCGGUGACAAACCGGAGGAAGGUGGGGAUGACGUCAAGUCAGCAUGCCCCUUACGUCCUGGGCUACACACGUACUACAAUGCUACGAACAGAGGGCAGCUAACCAGCGAUGGCAAGCUAAUCCCGGAAAUCGUAGCUCAGUUCAGAUCGCAGGCUGCAACUCGCCUGCGUGAAGUUGGAAUCGCUAGUAAUUGCAGGUCAGCCUACUGCAGUGAAUUCGUUCCCGGGCCUUGUACACACCGCCCGUCACGCCAUGGAAGCUGAUAGUGCCCGAAGUCAUUACCCCAACCUUUCGGGGAGGGGGAUGCCUAAGGCAGGACUGGUGACUGGGGUGAA
rnacentral:rRNA from 1 species